rnacentral:rRNA from 1 species
UACAGAGGGUGCGAGCGUUAAUCGGAAUACUGGGCGUAAAGCGUGCGCGGGCGGUCUGUUAAGACCGAUGUGAAAUCCCCGGGCUUAACCUGGGAACUGCAUUGGUGACUGGCAGGCUUUGAGUGUGGCAGAGGGAGGUAGAAUUCCACGUGUAGCAGUGAAAUGCGUAGAGAUGUGGAGGAAUACCGAUGGCGAAGGCAGCCUCCUGGGCCAACACUGACGCUCAUGCACGAAAGCGUGGGGAGCAAACAG